AGUGAACGCUGGCGGCAGGCCUAACACAUGCAAGUCGAGCGGCAGCGCGGGGGCAACCCUGGCGGCGAGCGGCGGACGGGUGAGGAAUUCGUCGGAAUCUGCCUUUUUGUGGGGGAUAACGUAGGGAAACUUACGCUAAUACCGCAUACGUCCUACGGGAGAAAGUGGGGGACCGCAAGGCCUCACGCAGAAAGAUGAGCCGACGACCGAUUAGCUAGUUGGUGGGGUAAAGGCCCACCAAGGCGACGAUCGGUAGCUGGUCUGAGAGGAUGAUCAGCCACACUGGGACUGAGACACGGCCCAGACUCCUACGGGAGGCAGCAGUGGGGAAUAUUGGACAAUGGGCGCAAGCCUGAUCCAGCCAUGCCGCGUGUGUGAAGAAGGCCUUCGGGUUGCAAAGCACUUUUGUCCGGAAAGAAAUCCCUGGAGCUAAUACCUUCGGGGGAUGACGGUACCGGAAGAAUAAGCACCGGCUAACUUCGUG
rnacentral:rRNA from 1 species